AACGAACGCUGGCGGCAGGCUUAACACAUGCAAGUCGAACGCCCCGCAAGGGGAGUGGCAGACGGGUGAGUAACGCGUGGGAACGUGCCCUUCGCUUCGGAAUAGCCCCGGGAAACUGGGAGUAAUACCGGAUACGCCGUAUUGGGAAAGAUUUAUCGGCGAAGGAUCGGCCCGCGUUGGAUUAGCUAGUUGGAGGUGUAAUGGACCCCCAAGGCUACGAUCCAUAGCUGGGCUGAGAGGAUGAUCAGCCACACUGGGACUGAGACACGGCCCAGACUCCUACGGGAGGCAGCAGUGGGGAAUCGUGGACAAUGGGCGCAAGCCUGAUCCAGCCAUGCCGCGUGAGUGAAGAAGGCCUUAGGGUUGUAAAACUCUUUCGCCGGAGAAGAUAAUGACGGUAUCCGGAGAAGAAGCCCCGGCUAACUUCGUGCCAGCCGCCGCCGUAAUAC
rnacentral:rRNA from 1 species